CGCUGCGAUUAAUUCACGCUGUUCCCUUGUCGAUUUAUUCGCGCCGCUACCGCUAUGCUUUUUGCCAUUCACACGUUCACUAUUGUAAACAAGGGCAAAAGGUGAGCUGCAUAUUGAAUGCGUAAAAAGCAAUUGUCGGACAAAACAGCAACAAUGUCGAAAGUGGAGCGACUCAUCGAAUUAGUCGAAAAAAAUAAAAUUUUAUAUGAUUCGGCGGACGCGGACUAUAAAAACGUAACAAAAAGGAACAAGAUAUGGGACGAAAUUGGAUUGGAGCUGGAAGAAAGUGGAAAUGAAAUAAAAAAAAUAAUGGGAGAAUUUGAGAGACACUUUCGCAAAAUCUUUGAAGACCAGUUCAGGGCACGCUGGUAAAACGUUCAACAAAUUUAAGUGAAGAAAGAGAAGAAUGCGAACCAGCAGAAACUGGAGCAGUUUCGUUGGCGUUAACGGACGAGAGCAUCGAUGGGUUUAUCCCAAGGGCUACGUCCUCCGUAGAGGAUAUAACACAAUAUCUAAAGUCGCAGGGGCCAGACGACAUAAAUAUGUUGUUUUUGGCUCAUGCGCAAACAAUAAAAAAAUUUUGCCCUAGGAGACGGGCACAAAUUAAAUUUAAAAUCGCCAAAUUGAUAAUGGAGGAAGAGAUGGCGAUUCUCGAAGAAAAUAGAGGUGAAAAAAACAUCGAUGUUAUCGAUGUUGCCAAAAAUAUUUUUAACAUCGAUUGUUUUCUGGAAACAUCGAUUAUCGUCACUUGCAACCGAGAAACAGAAAGCGUGUGAACAAUAUUGGUGGUGUUGGUGGCUAACAUCUUGGAGCCUUUUGAGCACGCUACUCGGUCUAAUUCCCAAGAAAAAAACGCUUCAAUAUCGAUAUUAAUUCCUCUCAUAUGUGAAUUAAACAAAAAUAUGGUUGAUAUUAAGACAAAAAUUAAGACUACAGAGGGGAAUUCAAUUUUCGAUUUUCUCACGGCUCGUUUCGCCCAUUAUGAGGUUAGAACCGUCCCAAGAUUGGCAACUAUUCUGGAUUCAAGGUUCAAAAAAAGUGGGUUUUCUCUCUCAGUCAAAUUCAAACCAAGCUGCUAAGGCUUUAGAGAAUGAAUUGUACAACACAUUAUCCAAAACACAGCACGAUACGCCAACGCCACCAAAUCCAGAACCGGAAAAGAAGAAAUUUACGUUCCUACAGCAGUCGCUGUUAAAUCUAAGUCGACGAGGACAGAUGCUAUUAUAGCUCUAAGGCAAUAUUUGGAGGCUCCAAAUUCCCCGGAGAACGUCGCCUUGUAGAGAGAUAUGCUCAGAUUCCAUGAAAGCUUUGAAAAGCAUUGCAAAACAAUACUUUUGCGUUCCAGCAUCUUUCACGGCGUCCGAGAGGAUUUUCAGCAAAGCUGGCCAAGUCAUUAGUGAGCGCUGGAGCUCUCUUAAACCAAAAAUAGUUAAUAUGUUGUUAUUUUUGAACAAAAACAGCUUCCUUUAUGAUCUCAAUUAAAUAAGUUAAAUUUAAACGGCGAUAAUCGAUUAUAAUCGAUGUUUUCAUACCAAAACAUUGAUGUUUUCCCAGCUCUACCGACUGGUCCGCAAAAAGCGGACCCAGAACCUGAGGCAUCACUCCCAGCUACUGACCCAUCGUUCAUAUCAGUGACAACCACUAGAGAGGCUCCAAGCAAACCGAAACUAGAACCACUUGAGAAUUGCAACAGAUAAAUAAGUAAAAUUUGCUGUUUACGUUUUCAUCACUAACCAUACAAUACAUAGAUGCGUCAAGUCAUACAUCCAAAAGGUAUCAUUAAAAACAGUAUUAUUGCAGCCCCAGUCGGGCCGUGCGCUGCGAUUCGAACAUUGAAAAUUCGAAGUUCUAACGCAGCGCG